UGUCGUCAGCUCGUGUUGUGAAAUGUUGGGUUAAGUCCCGCAACGAGCGCAACCCUUAUCCUUUGUUGCCAGCGGUCCGGCCGGGAACUCAAAGGAGACUGCCAGUGAUAAACUGGAGGAAGGUGGGGAUGACGUCAAGUCAUCAUGGCCCUUACGACCAGGGCUACACACGUGCUACAAUGGCGCAUACAAAGAGAAGCGACCUCGCGAGAGCAAGCGGACCUCAUAAAGUGCGUCGUAGUCCGGAUUGGAGUCUGCAACUCGACUCCAUGAAGUCGGAAUCGCUAGUAAUCGUGGAUCAGAAUGCCACGGUGAAUACGUUCCCGGGCCUUGUACACACCGCCCGUCACACCAUGGGAGUGGGUUGCAAAAGAAGUAGGUAGCUUAACCUUCGGGAGGGCGCUUACCACUUUGUGAUUCAUGACUGGGGUGAAGUCGUAACAAGGUAACCGUAGGGGAACCUG
rnacentral:rRNA from 2 species